GUAGGGGCCAAACGUUUGUCCGGAUUUAUUGGGCGUAAAGGGCUCGUAGGCGGUUCAACAAGUCGAUCGUGAAAACCCGGGGCUCAACCCCGGGACGCCGGUCGAAACUGUUGUGACUAGGGUCCGGUAGAGGUGAGUGGAAUUCUCGGUGUAGCGGUGGAAUGCGCAGAUAUCGAGAGGAACACCAGUUGCGAAGGCUGCUCACUGGGCCGGUACCGACGCUAAGGAGCGAAAGCAUGGGGAGCAAACAGGAUUAGAUACCCUGGUAGUCCAUGCCGUAAACUGUGAACACUAGGUGUGGCGGAUCUAUUGAUGUCUGCCGUACCGUAGCUAACGCGUUAAGUGUUCCGCCUGGGGAGUACGGCCGCAAGGCUA
rnacentral:rRNA from 1 species